AGUCGAGCGGAAAGGCCACUUCGGUGGUACUCGAGCGGCGAACGGGUGAGUAACACGUGAGUAAUCUGCCCCUGGCUUCGGGAUAGCCACCGGAAACGGUGAUUAAUACCGGAUAUGACAGACCCUCGCAUGGGGGUGUGUGGAAAGUUUUUCGGCCAGGGAUGUGCUCGCGGCCUAUCAGCUUGAUGGUGAGGUAAUGGCUCACCAUGGCUUCGACGGGUAGCCGGCCUGAGAGGGUGACCGGCCACACUGGGACUGAGACACGGCCCAGACUCCUACGGGAGGCAGCAGUGGGGAAUAUUGGACAAUGGGCGGAAGCCUGAUCCAGCAACGCCGCGUGAGGGAUGACGGCCUUCGGGUUGUAAACCUCUUUCAGUACCGACGAAGCGCAAGUGACGGUAGGUACAGAAGAAGCACCGGCCAACUACGUGCCAGCAGCCGCGGUAAUACGUAGGGUGCGAGCGUUGUCCGGAAUUAUUGGGCGUAAAGGGCUCGUAGGCGGUUUGUCGCGUCGGGAGUGAAAACGCCGUGCUUAACACAGCGCUUGCUUCCGAUACGGGCAGACUAGAGGUAUUCAGGGGAGAACGGAAUUCCUGGUGUAGCGGUGAAAUGCGCAGAUAUCAGGAGGAACACCGGUGGCGAAGGCGGUUCUCUGGGAAUGACCUGACGCUGAGGAGCGAAAGUGUGGGGAGCG
rnacentral:rRNA from 1 species